rnacentral:lncRNA from 1 species
GGGUCUCUCAGCCAUGGAUACUAGCAAAAUAUUUGGGGUGUCUCCUGGGUCCUGCAGGAGAAAUCUGCUUCUUUCAGAGGGUCUGUGGGUCCUCUCGGGUUUUCUGAUUAUUCCUGCAGUCGUUAUGGAGCUAAAAUUCAUGAUGAGAGCCUACACAUCCUGCUCUGUCUGUCCAAGUCAGAGCUGCAAUCUAGUCCUGCCUCCUGUCGGCCAUGAUCCCAGCCUAUAUUUUCUUUUAUGUAUUUUAACCUUUUCCAAAAAAGAUAAAUAUUUAAGACCCUCAGAUUAAUUAUUUUCUAUUGUUAUAAUUCCUAGAAAAUUAUGACCAUCAGAAGUUAUAUGGUUCCCUGUCAAAGUUAUUAAACCCAUAUGCUAGGGAUAAAAGUGAAAUGAAUGCAUAGUUAUUGAUCAUGGGUAGCAGAUAGUUUCUUGAAAGCAUUUAAAGUUUAAUGUGAAUGACACUGAAGAGCAAACAUAUAAAUCAUUGAAAAUUUCUUCAAAUUGAAACAAAAUCUCUGUCUUAUAUCAAAUUUUGCCAAAUUGCUGACAGUACUAGAAUGAUUGUCUGGAGUUAAAAAAAAAUCUAAUCCUUUUUCCAGAGUUCACUUUUUCAAAUGCUUUAUAAUUAUUACCAUGUCUUUUAAGUUUUUUUUUUUUUAAAGGCAAAGGGUUAUAGAAUAUUUUAACUUUUAUAUAUAGAAGGAAAAUAGUUAUACCUCUCACCAUCCUGGUCAAUCUUUCCUAAAUAGUCUCAAGUUUUUCAGGAUUAAGUUGGGUAUGCAACAUAAAUUAAAUUAUAUUGUGGUAUAGCAUUAAUCUAUUUGCCCAUCAUCUGUCUGCCUGACUGACCAUCCCUCCACAUCCAUCCAUCCAUCCAUCCAUCCAUCCAUCCAUCCAUCCAACUAGUUAUUGAUCCGUACUAUGAUAGGCUGCCUCUAACAUAGACCCAAGUGAUCCUUGACUCCUUUUAUUUAAGUCUGAAUGUAAUUAUCUAUCCUUGCAUGUAGGCUGGACAUAUUAACUCACUUUUAUCAAAUAAAAUACAGAGCUGACGGGAUGUCAUUUCAGAUUUUAGGUUACAAAAAGAUGGCAGAUUGCAUCUUGGGCACUCUCUUGUAUGACUUUUUGGAGAAGCCAGUUUUCAUGUUGUGAGAGGCCUGGCAGAGGGGCCCAAAUGAGUUCGCUGGGAAGCGGAUCACAGAAACCAUGAGGUCCCGGUUUAUGACUGCAAAACAAUGGUUUAAACAGUAUUCAUUCUGGAACAUCACUCAAUUUCACUAAUACUAUUCAAAUUCUGGAUGAGAAUUCGCUUCUGCAAAUUAGAAGCAAUUCAUCUAAGAUAAUGAACACAGAAGCGAAGCAGAAGCCAUUUUCCUACAUCCUUUCGACUGUUUUAACUGCAAACAAAGAUAAAGAAAUGCAAGGUGUUAGCAGUGCUUUUUGUGGCACUUUCCAAUUUUCUGGGUGUCAAGAGGCAAUUGUGACUACAGCAUUAGCAGUGUAACUCUGGCUUCCUGAUUACUGGAUUGCAGCAA